rnacentral:lncRNA from 1 species
AGUAAAUAAACGAAACAAAACGAGUAAAACACAACCUAAACCUUCCAACAAUCGCCUCAGGGAUUUCCAAUGCACAUGACAUGUUAAAAAUCAUCAUUCCACAGAUUUUAGCCAUCUUUACACUUAAGCACAUACUUAAUCGUAGUCACUACUUACUAGUUCACAUUUAACCAAUUAAAACAAUGUUUGAAUGUAGUAACAUGCCUUAGAGAAUCCCUCAGUUCCUUACUAGAUAUGCACUCUAUUUUCACUCAGAUUUUCUAACUACACACCCUAACUAGUUAUAUGUGAGAAGAUUGAUGUAAAUAAAAAACGAUGCUCACAUAUAUGUAUGACAAAGGGAGCAAUUUCCGGAGUUAAUAACAUGUUUAUAAAUAUGAUCUCAUGAAUGGAAUGCUACUACUUAGAUGCGCGAACCAAUGACACCAUAUGCUCAAACCAAUUUCAAACUCCACAAAUUGAAAUACACAACACUCAAGAUUAAAGUCAAGGGUUGUAACGGGGCUUAAGGUAUUGGCUAACAAAAACGGAUAUGGAAAACAAACGUUCUUUAAAACAAUAGUAAGCAAAGUAUGGAAAUCGAAACUUAGAAUUCACUUUAGCAUGCCGAAAUCAAUUUCAAAACAGAAGGGAAGACUCAAACAAUUAAUUAGGGCCGAAUGCAACUCUUUGGACCCUUUCUUCAACACACAACACUUUGGAACUCUUUUUCACAUGCCUUUCAACUAUUUUGCAUGUUUUUCACAACUUUUCUUUUUUUUUUUUUUUUUUUUUUACUAUUUUUCACUCUUUUUUUUUUUUUUCUUUCUUUU